ACCGAUGACGAGCGGUUUCGGAACUGAAGGGUGAUGUGACCAGCUAUCGCUGAGG
rnacentral:snoRNA from 1 species